rnacentral:rRNA from 1 species
GACGAACGCUGGCGGCGUGCUUAACACAUGCAAGUCGAACGAAGUGGCGAACGGGUGAGUAACGCGUAAUCAACCUGCCCUUCAGAGGGGGACAACAGUUGGAAACGACUGCUAAUACCGCAUACUUAAGGAGGGGUUUGCGUGGGAUUUGCUAGUUGGAGGGGUAACGGCCCACCAAGGCGAUGAUCAGUAGCCGGUCUGGGGGGAUGAACGACCACAUUGGGACUAGUACAGGGCCCAGACUCCUCCGGGAGGCAGCAGUGGGGAAUCUUCCGCAAUGGACGAAAGUCUGACGGAGCAACGCCGCGUGAGUGAUGACGGCCUUCGGGUUGUAAAGCUCUGUUAAUCGGGACGCGGUACCGGAAUAGAAAGCCACGGCUAACUACGUGCCAGCAGCCGCGGUAAUUC